GGAAGAAGCGGUCAAUCCGAACCAUCCGCUGCUGGAGCGGGUCCGGUUCCUGUCGAUUUCUGCCAAUAACCUUGACGAGUUCUUCAUGGUCCGCGUCGCGGGCCUCAAGGCGCAGGUCCGCGAAGGCAUUACGGAGCGCAGCCCGGAUGGCUCGACGCCCACCGAGCAACUCGCCAAGAUCAAUGAGACCGUCUCGAAGCUCGCGAGCGACCAGCAGGCGAUCUGGCGCGAUCUGCGCAGCG
rnacentral:misc_RNA from 1 species